rnacentral:rRNA from 1 species
CCCUUAGAUGUCCUGGGCCGCACGCGCGUUACACUGAUGCAUUCAACGAGCUUAUAACCUUGGCCGAGAGGCCUGGGCAAUCUUGUUAACGUGCAUCGUGAUAGGGAUAGAUUAUUGAAAUUAUUAAUCUUGAACGAGGAAUUCCUAGUAAACGCAGAUCAUCAAUCUGCAUUGAUUACGUCCCUGCCCUUUGUACACACCGCCCGUCGCACCUACCGAUUGGAUGGUCCGGUGAAGCCUCGGGAUUGUGGUUCUUGCCGCUUUAUUGUAGCGUGACCGCGAGAACUUGUUUAAACCUUAUCAUCUAGAGGAAGGUGAAGUCGUAACA